UUUUUUAUUUUUUAUUGCGCAAGACACAUGAUGAAAAAACAGAAAGAAAGAGAGUUUUUCAAGAAAAGGUUACAACAGACCUUUUCAUGUGAUCAAAUAUUGUCGCGUGCAUUUGUAAAGUUCC
rnacentral:ribozyme from 1 species